CCUCCCGCCCACCUCACAGAAAAAUUAAACUUCUGAGGGAAAUAAAACAUAAAAAGCCACGGCGGUGCGCGCGGGGGCGGGAAUUCGGUGUGGUUGGGGCUUACCGAGGGCUGAGUUUCCCCGCUGGGCAGCUCAGAGGUGCCUCAGGCUCCAGCGUGUGGCUGCUGCGUGGUUUGGUCAGUUGUCGCUCUUCAUAAGGGUUAAAUAAUAUAAAAGCACAGCCCUUCGGCUAUUUUUGUAUUUUAUUUUUGCAAGCUAAAAGCCUCUAGUAUAACUAUAUCAAUGUAUAUCAGAGCUUUCCAAAAUAAUUCCCUAUCAAUAAGGCACUGCAGGCCUGGAGUCUAUACAGGCCAAAAGUCAAACAGCAAGAGGCUGCAGAGAGGACUGGACAGAAACAAAUAAGUAUUUAGACCAAUUUAGUCCACUUGUACUUUGUACAGACAACAAAUUCCUACAUCAUUGUCUGCGUGCUCGUGUAAGGGAAACUGACCAGGGUAGGAGUAAAGGGGAUAUCUCUGUGGGGCAGGGGGAUGGUGGGUUGAACUAUGGUGUCUUGCUUUCCCUGCAGGUUGAAAGUACAGAAGCUGAGCUGAGCAGGAGGAAUGUGCCUCAGAGGUAAAGAUGAGGAAUAUGCACUUGAAAAGAAGGUGACUGCACCUGAAGGCAACACUCAGAAGAGGAAGGUGUAUGCAUGCUAAUGAGAUGUGUACUUUCACUUCGGAUUGAAAUCACCAUUACCAUCAAGGAAGUCCAGCUUCUGGUGUUGCUUCUACGAACCUGUUCUGGUCCUCACUGGAAUGAUCUUGCUCACUUCACUAACCCUAAGAAAACAGGUAUUUUACAGCCACGUUAUUGUGAUAAAUCUUCUCCCCAAAGGUCUGGUGAAAGUCCAGGAUGGAAGGAUACAAAACCUGGUUCAGCUGGCUUGUUUGUCCUGAAGACUUCAUCCUCAGUGACUGCAGCUUGUGGUUUGGAAGCUCAGAUGCUUCAGUGA
rnacentral:lncRNA from 1 species